UUUCCGUAGGUGAACCUGCGGAGGGAUCAUUAAUGAGAACUAAGGGUAGUAGUCUCGGCUAUUACUCUGAACACUCCACCCUUUGUUUAUAUUACCUUUGUUGCUUUAGCAGGCCCGCUCUCGAGCCGCCGGCACCUGCUGGCUAGUGCCUGCUAAAGAACCUAAAACUCUUGUUAAUAAUAUUGUCUGAGUACUAUAUAAUAGUUAAAACUUUCAACAACGGAUCUCUUGGUUCUGGCAACGAUGAAGAACGCAGC
rnacentral:misc_RNA from 1 species